UGGGGAAUUUUGGACAAUGGGCGCAAGCCUGAUCCAGCCAUACCGCGUGAGUGAAGAAGGCCUUCGGGUUGUAAAGCUCUUUCAGACGGAAAGAAACGGUUACGGCUAAUACCCGUGACUAAUGACGGUACCGUAAGAAGAAGCACCGGCUAACUACGUGCCAGCAGCCGUGGUAAUACGUAGGGUGCGAGCGUUAAUCGGAAUUACUGGGCGUAAAGCGUGCGCAGGCGGUUUGGUAAGACAGAUGUGAAAUCCCCGGGCUUAACCUGGGAACUGCAUUUGUGACUGCCAGACUAGAGUGUAGCAGAGGGGGGUAGAAUUCCACGUGUAGCAGUGAAAUGCGUAGAUAUGUGGAGGAAUACCGAUGGCGAAGGCAGCCCCCUGGGCUAACACUGACGCUCAUGCACGAAAGCGUGGGGAGCAAACAGGAUUAGAUACCCACGUAGUCCCUGAGCGGGCUGGCAAGGCGC
rnacentral:rRNA from 1 species